UCAAAUAUGAUGUAAAACAUUUUUUUGAAUUCAAGUGAUAGAAAUCAAUCACGAGCUUUUUAACACUGAUUAUC